rnacentral:rRNA from 1 species
CUACGGGGCGCAGCAGUGAGGAAUAUUGGUCAAUGGACGCAAGUCUGAACCAGCCAUCCCGCGUGAAGGAUGACUGCCCUAUGGGUUGUAAACUUCUUUUAUAUGCAAAUAAACCUACUUUCGUGAAAGUAGCUGAAGGUAGCAUAUGAAUAAACACCGGCUAACUCCGUGCCAGCAGCCGCGGUAAUACGGAGGGUGUAAGCGUUAUCCGGAUUUAUUGGGUUUAAAGGGUACGUAGGCGGUAAUAUAAGUCAGUGGUGAAAUCCUGCAGCUCAACUGUAGAACUGCCAUUGAAACUGUAUUACUUGAGUAUACUUGAGGUAGGCGGAAUGAGUAGUGUAGCGGUGAAAUGCUUAGAUAUUACUCAGAACACCGAUUGCGAAGGCAGCUUACUAAGGUAUAACUGACGCUGAUGUACGAAAGCGUGGGGAGCGAACAGGAUUAGAUACCCCCGUAGUC